CUCGUCCGCGGGCGCCGCACGGCCCUGGCCUGCUUCGACGGGGCGCGCCUUGCAGAAGUGCACACACUGGUAAUAGCCCGCGGUGACGCAGUCGACCAUCAUGGUGGACAUUGCAGAGCACAUGACGACGAUGCCCGCGUAGGGGAACCCACCGGCCCUGUGCAUCAUGCUGGUGGCGGGGAUGACCCCGUGGAGAACGCCUUGAUGACGAAGAAGACGUCCUCGUCAUGGCGCAGCGCCGAGGCGAAGCGACCCAACAACGGGACCAACAUCCCCACCGCGCCCGACGCCAGGAUGGAUGACACCGCGACGAG
rnacentral:misc_RNA from 1 species